rnacentral:rRNA from 1 species
GGUUAAGUGACUAAGCGUACACGGUGGAUGCCUUGGCAGUCAGAGGCGAUGAAGGACGUAGUAACUUGCGAUAAGCGUAGAUGAGGCAGUAACAGCCACUUGAGUCUACGAUUUCCGAAUGGGGAAACCCACUGGCAUAAGCCAGUAUCAUUGAGUGAAUACAUAGCUCAAUGAAGCGAACCGGGAGAACUGAAACAUCUAAGUACCCCGAGGAAAAGAAAUCAACCGAGAUUCCGAAAGUAGCGGCGAGCGAAAUUGGAUUAGCCCUUAAGCUUUACAUGUGUUAGACGAACGGUCUGGAAAGUCCGACGAUACAGGGUGAUAGUCCCGUAGUUGUAGAUGCAUGUUCAGUGAAAUCGAGUAGGGCGGGACACGUGUUAUCCUGUCUGAAUAUGGGGGGACCAUCCUCCAAGGCUAAAUACUCCUGACUGACCGAUAGUGAACCAGUACCGUGAGGGAAAGGCGAAAAGAACCCCUGUGAGGGGAGUGAAAUAGAACCUGAAACCGUGUACGUACAAGCAGUAGGAGCACCUUCGUGGUGUGACUGCGUACCUUUUGUAUAAUGGGUCAGCGACUUAUAUUCAGUGGCAAGGUUAACCAUCUAGGGGAGCCGUAGGGAAACCGAGUCUUAACUGGGCGCCAUAGUCUCUGGAUAUAGACCCGAAACCGAGUGAUCUAGCCAUGGGCAGGUUGAAGGUUGAGUAACAUCAACUGGAGGACCGAACCGACUAAUGUUGAAAAAUUAGCGGAUGACUUGUGGCUAGGGGUGAAAGGCCAAUCAAACUCGGAGAUAGCUGGUUCUCCCCGAAAGCUAUUUAGGUAGCGCCUCGGACGAAUACUACUGGGGGUAGAGCACUGUUAAGGCUAGGGGGUCAUCCCGACUUACCAACCCUUUGCAAACUCCGAAUACCAGUAAGUACUAUCCGGGAGACACACGGCGGGUGCUAACGUCCGUCGUGGAGAGGGAAACAACCCAGACCGCCAGCUAAGGUCCCAAAUUACAGCUAAGUGGGAAACGAUGUGGGAAGGCUUAGACAGCUAGGAUGUUGGCUUAGAAGCAGCCAUCAUUUAAAGAAAGCGUAAUAGCUCACUAGUCGAGUCGGCCUGCGCGGAAGAUGUAACGGGGCUAAGUUGUAAACCGAAGCUGCGGCAAUGUUCUUUGAACAUUGGGUAGGGGAGCGUUCUGUAAGCCGUUGAAGGUGUGUUGUAAAGCAUGCUGGAGGUAUCAGAAGUGCGAAUGCUGACAUGAGUAACGACAAGGGGGGUGAAAAACCUCCCCGCCGGAAGACCAAGGGUUCCUGUCCAACGUUAAUCGGGGCAGGGUAAGUCGACCCCUAAGGCGAGGCCGAAAGGCGUAGUCGAUGGGAAACGGGUUAAUAUUCCCGUACUUCUUACAAUUGCGAUGGGGGGACGGAGAAGGCUAGGUGGGCCUGGCGACGGUUGUCCAGGUUCAAGUGCGUAGGCU